CUUAACCCAAACCUUAUAGCCGCAGCAGAAAACGCCUUCUCUAUGAACACCACCACGAACCAGAGUCCACCAUGAAUUUAUUCAUCUGAAAAUCUAAUAGAUACUCGAUAAACCUUCCACAUCUCUGAAUAUUGUGAAGUUAGGGUUUGAUUUUUCAAACAACAUCAGGUUGAUUUCUCAAUUUGGUGUUGUUAUUAGGGAUUGAUUUUGCAAACUUCACAGGUUGAUUUCUCAAUUUUGUGCGGUUAUUAGAGUUUGAUUUUACAAAUUUCACCAGGUAUUUAUUAUUUGAUUUCGGUCGGACAGCUUAACUUAUAGGAACAUCUUCAUCAGGGUACUGCAGGAGUUUCCAUAGCUAGUCUUUUGGGAGUCUCAUGUAUGCUUAUAACAGAGCACAAGGAUGGGUUAUGAUUCUCGAGUUUUGGUUCAUAAAAGUAGGAAGCAGGAACAACAGUAUUACAGAUUAUACAAAGUACUGAUACAUUCUUGAUGUGAACCAAUAUCUGUUACACAAAUUGUCAGAGAAACUGCUGCUGUCAUGCAAAAGUUUACUCAAUCUGGGUACACUGAUGAUAUGGAGCUUGAAGAUGCUACUCACACGGCUAUUUUGACUCUGAAAGAAGGGUGCUUGGAACUGAUGAUAGGAGCUUUACUGCAAAUGAGAAUGAAGCUCCGUCAAUUUUGAAAACUGUUGGAGAUGAUGAGUAUUGGAGUGGAGAAGCUCAGGGAACGAGAAAUGGGGAUACACGUACGUGAAUGAACUUGCCCAACACCUUAUAAUUCAACUGGUGGAAAUCAUGUAGCUCCCCAGCGCACAUGAAGUCGCAUGUGAACCGAGGACACGGUACAUGGAUGCUCUGCUUGAUAUCAUUUGCGAAGUAUUGGCUAAUUAAGUUCAUUAUCAUAGGAGGAGCUGAAUUAUCAUUUUGUUUUUUAUCAGUUGUCUAUUAGUUUAGCAUGUUGUUGUCAGAACUUAACUAUCUUGGACAUGUAUUCUAUGAACUCAGUAUUUCAUCUUUUUUGUGUAGUUUUACACCCAAUGGAUAAAAUGAAUGAAUGUUAAAAUUCUCAGUUUGAUUAUAAAUUUCAGUUAAAUUUGAAA